rnacentral:ncRNA from 2 species
UUGAGUUCUCGGGGCGGGGUGAAAUUCCCCACCGGCGGUGAUGCCCUCCAAGGGAUGAGCCCGCGAGCGCCCUCGCGACAGCGAGGGGACGAGCAGACUCCGGUGCGAUUCCGGGGCCGACGGUCAGAGUCCGGAUACGAGAGAAUGGCA